rnacentral:rRNA from 1 species
UACGUAGGGGGCAAGCGUUGUCCGGAAUCAUUGGGCGUAAAGCGCGUGUAGGCGGUCCGGUAAGUCCGCUGUGAAAGUCGGGGGCUCAACCCUCGGAUGCCGGUGGAUACUGUCGGGCUUGAGUACGGAAGAGGCGAGUGGAAUUCCUGGUGUAGCGGUGAAAUGCGUAGAUAUUGGGAGGAACACCAGUGGCGAAGGCGGCUACCUGGACCGGUUCUGACGCUGAGGCGCGAAAGCGUGGGUAGCAAACAGG